rnacentral:rRNA from 1 species
CAGCCGCCACGGUAACACCGAGGGUGCGAGCGUUAAUCGGAUUUACUGGGCGUAAAGCGUGCGUAGGCGGCUAAUUGAGUCGGAUGUGAAAUCCCCGAGCUUAACUUGGGAAUUGCAUUCGAUACUGGUUAGCUAGAGUGUGGGAGAGGAUGGUAGAAUUCCAGGUGUAGCGGUGAAAUGCGUAGAGAUCUGGAGGAAUACCGAUGGCGAAGGCAGCCAUCUGGCCUAACACUGACGCUGAGGUACGAAAGCAUGGGGAGCAAACAGGAUUAGAUACCCCCGUAGUCCCUGUCUCUUAUAU